UAAACAAACCUAAGAUAGCCCUGCUGCUAGGGUCACCCUAUCUGUUUGACAGGGUAACCCUACCCCUAGGGUAACCCUAGCGCGCAUGUAAACGUUUCCUAUAAAACAUAUUGAACUGAAGUAGGGUAACCCGCUUACUAGGGUAACCCUUCUGCUAGGUAACUACCUAUAUGUGUCCACGAAAUAAAACAAUCGUUGAAGAGCCUUGAAUGACAGAAAAAUAUCGAGCAGCAUUAGGAGGUUUAAAAACUGAUUAUUGGGCUCAAUGAAAAUCCACCCCAUCAAAUGGUCCGCCCCUAAUACAUAAUAUUUCUAAAAUCCAUAUAUAGAUUAGUCGUCGCAUGCAAAUCAGCCAUUUCUACGUGUGAACCUCUUAGGUUUAUAAUUAAAACGGAGAUUAUUUUCAUUAUAAAACAACAAGUCAGCACUAUUUAAAGUACGAAAAUGUCAGCAAGUUAAUGUCAUCAUCAUUUAAUUCUGCCAAACAGAAACUCCAAAACUAAGGCGCAUUUUUACAAUAUUUCCAAAAGUUUAAGUUUCCCGAGAAAGACAGCGUAUAGCCAUCAUACAUAAGUAUCAAAUUAAAUUCCAUUGCUAAAAAUUCGAACGGGUGAAAACAUAUUCCUUUCACAGAUAUAAGGCUGGUAGCCUGGUAUACUUUAAUUUAGGGUAUUAUUAUUAGUUGCGGUAGUAAUGAUGUGUUUAUAAAAUGCUCCGUCGUCCGUCGUCCGCCCGCCUUUUAUCUACAGCCUCACAUACCAUAGCCCCAGGUGGUCUUCCUACUUAGACGCUCAUCUCUACUAACUUUACUUUUAUAUUUUCACUUUUAUAUUUUCACUUCUAUAUUUUCACUUUUAUAUUUUCACUUUUAUAUUUCACUUUUAUAUUUUCACUUUUAACUUUUAUAUUUUCACUUCUAUAUUUUCACUUUUAUAUUUUCACUUUUAUAUUUUCACUUUUAACUUUUAUAUUUUCACUUUUAUAUUUUUACUUUAAUAUUUUUACUUUUAUAUUUUAACUUUUACAGUUUUAGGCACAAUUAACUUAUUUGACAGUAAGAAAGUUUUUAGGCCGUGCGUAUAAAGAGGGUUACAUGCGCGAAAGCUGGAUUCGGUUUUAGUGAUACGCAGUGGAAUUCCGGCCAUGUCAACAGCCGACAAUAUCGGUUGUCUGGAAAACGCGUGCACGUACACGCGUACACGUACACGCGUACAUGGAAAACGCGUACAUGGAAAACGCGUACAUGGAAAACGCGUACAUGGAAAACGCGUACAUGGAAAACGCGUACAUGGAAAACGCGUACAAUGUUUAUUUGUAACGU